rnacentral:rRNA from 1 species
AUUGAACGCUGGCGGCAAGCCUAACACAUGCAAGUCGAACGAGUGGCGGACGGGUGAGUAAUUUCUGGGACACUGCCUGAUGGAGGGGGAUAACUACUGGAAACGGUAGCUCAUACCGCAUACCAUCGGAUGUGCCCAGAUGGGAUUAGCUAGUAGGUGGGGUAAAGGCUCACCUAGGCGACGAUCCCUAGCUGGUCUGAGAGGAUGACCAGGCACACGGGAACUGGGACACGGUCAAGACUCCUACGGGAGGCAGCAGUGGUGAAUAUUGCACAAUGUGCGCGAGCCUAAUGCAGCCAUGCCGCGUGUAUGAAGAAGGCCUUCGGGUUGUAAAGUACUUUCAGCGGGGAGGCGUUACCCGCAGAAGAAGCACCGGCUAACUCCGUGCCAGCAGCCGCGGUAAUUC